GACAGAGGGUGCAAACGUUGUUCGGAAUUACUGGGCAUAAAGCGCACGUAGGCGGCCCGCUAAGUCACGCGUGAAAUCCCCCGGCUCAACCGGGGAAUGGCGCGUGAUACUGGCGGGCUCGAGAUCGGGAGGGGUGAGCGGAACUCCAGGUGGAGCGGUGAAAUGCGUAGAUAUCUGGAGGAACACCGGUGGCGAAAGCGGCUCACUGGCCCGACCCUGACGCUGAGGUGCGAAAGCUAGGGUAGCAAACGGG
rnacentral:rRNA from 1 species